GGAAAUAUGAAGGUGUUGGUCCCCGAGGCAGCAGUAAAGAAUUUUGUGCAAUAUACGAAAGUAAGACACAGAGAGGGCACAUUACCUAGUCCGUCAAAUUAAGUGCCAGCAGACGCGGUGAAACUUAAGGGCUAGUCUUAUAGGCAAAAGCGUAAAGGGUGUGAUAGGCCGUUUUAUUUAAGAGAGUAAAUGGAAUUUUUCUGUAACGGUGGUAUGUGUAAAUAGGAAAAAGAACUUUAGACGUGAAGACUAUUUACUUCUAAGAUUAUAAUGUGUUGGCUAAAACACGAGAGUAUGGGGAGCAAACAGGAUUAGGUACCCUGGUAGUCCAUACUGUAAAUAAUGAAAAAGAUGUGAAGCAAUUCUAAAAGGUAAAAACUUUUCCGCUUGAGUAGUACGAUCGCAAGAUUAAAAUUCAAAAAACUUGGCUGUUCACUGUUUUGAUUAGAGGAGCGUGUCGUUUAAUUCGAUAGUCCGCGAGAGACCUUACCCAAACUUGAAUCCCUCAUUGACAGGUAUUGCAUGGCCGUCGUCAAUUUGUGUAUUAAACAUAAAACAAAUUCAACCCAGUGGUUUGUCUAUUGGAUGAAGUCAGGUCUUAUUGUCCUAAUGUUUGGGGAUUAGAUGCGCUACAUUUUUUUAUACAAUGGGAAACUUUAAGUGUGAAACCCAAAAAUAAGAGUUCGGAAGGUGCCUGUAAUAUAACGGGAAGUUGGAUUUAAUAGUAAUUGAAAAGUAGAGCGUUUCAAUGAAAUUUAUUCAGUGUUAGUACAAAUUGCCCGUCGCCUUUGCUUAGAAAGGUUGUUUGGUUGCCCCUCAAGAGGGUUCCUAAUAUCUUCGAGGUAGAGUAAGUCGUAACAUAGUGAGAGAGAGAGGACAACA
rnacentral:rRNA from 1 species